rnacentral:rRNA from 1 species
AAUGCCGCGUGUGUGAAGAAGGCCUGCGGGUUGUAAAGCACUUUCGGUGGGGAGGAAAAGCUUAGUGCUAAUACCACUAAGUCUUGACGUUACCCACAGAAGAAGCACCGGCUAACUCCGUGCCAGCACCUUCGGUGACUGAGCGGGCUGGCAAGGCGCAUA